rnacentral:rRNA from 1 species
AUUGAACGCUGGCGGAAUGCUCUACACAUGCAAGUCGAACGGCAGCACGGACUUCGGUCUGGUGGCGAGUGGCGAACGGGUGAGUAAUAUAUCGGAACGUGCCCAGUCGUGGGGGAUAACGUAGUGAAAAUUACGCUAAUACCGCAUACGAUCUAUGGAUGAAAGCGGGGGACCUUUGGGCCUCGCGCGAUUGGAGCGGCCGAUAUCAGAUUAGGUAGUUGGUGGGGUAAAGGCUCACCAAGCCAACGAUCUGUAGCUGGUCUGAGAGGACGACCAGCCACACUGGGACUGAGACACGGCCCAGACUCCUACGGGAGGCAGCGGUGGGGAAUUUUGGACAAUGGACGCAAGUCUGAUCCAGCCAUUCCGCGUGCAGGACGAAGGCCUUCGGGUUGUAAACUGCUUAUGUACAGAACGAAAAGGUUUCUACUAAUACUAGGAGCUCAUGACGGUACUGUAAGAAUAAGCACCGGCUAACUACGUGCCAGCCGCCGCAGUAA